rnacentral:lncRNA from 1 species
UGGGCGUGUGUGUGUGUGUACGAGCAGAGGAGAAGAAAGGAAGGGGGAGCCCUUCUCAAACCCUAAGCAACGAAUUGGAAGGAUUCUGGCCGAAAUCGAACCUGCAUGAACCUUAAUAGUGAUAAUCUAAGCAAGAUGUAACCAAGGAAACCAUGUUUAUGAGAACGUGUCAAGGAGAGCUCAAGCAUAGGAGGCUAACGGGUCAAGAAGUGGCAAGAAAACGGAUAUGAGCACGGAUGCAUAAGGUAAGUAAUAUCCGUAAUUACUUCUUAGUUGUUUAUGUAAAGUUAUGUGCAGCUUAACUAAGUAUGCUAAUUGAGGUCAUAUAGGAAUGAAUGGUAUGAUAUCGAUAAAGUGUUAAACGGAUCUUAGCUUUGAUCCGAGCAAGGUAGGUGUGAUUAAGAAUUGUAGCUAAGUGAUAGGAUUGGUUACUAAUGUAAGAUAGUACUUUGUUGUCAAGUAUGAAAGCAAAGUAUAGGGUUUUGUAUGUCGUAGACCUUUUUAUGCACAAAUACCCAUAACGGGUCAAAAGGAGCUUUUGGGUGAAAAUGGGUAAGAGGAUGCAAGGCAUCCGAGAGUUCUAAUCUUUUAUGAUAGUCAUAAGUAAAAUGAUUAAGUUCAUAUGAAAGUGAGGUCAUAAAAACAGAUUAUGUGGAUAAAUGCAUGACGGGUCGAAUAAUUCGUAAAUAAUAAUAAGCCGACAACAUAUAAGUCAAGAAUUUCCUUAACCCGGAUGUAGGAUUUCAAGUUCAAAUGAUAGAAUGCUAAUUUACAAUCAUGUAGGAAGAAACGGGAGGUUAAACGGGUAAACGGUUUAAAAGUUAUGCGAGUUUUAGUGCGUUCGAACGACGAAAACAACACAGCAGAAAAAUGGCAAAAGCAGAGGCCGUCGCCGACGCCUCGUCCUUUUUCAGUUUGCUCCGACGCCCUAUUUUCCUGUCUACGGGGUUUUUAAGCUACGGGAAAAACUAAAAGCCGUCGCCGACGCCCUGUAGGGUCGUCGCCGACGGCCUCCCCAUGUCUAGAAUGCUGAAAUUUGUUAACUAAGUUGUUUUAUGUAUUGUAAGCUUCGGUAUAUUAACCGUGAUCUAUGGUAAGCCUUCUAAACCUAAUUUUAGGUGUUCUCUUGAUGUUUCUGGGUUCUAAACCCAAGUAUAAGCACCGUAUAAAUAACGUACGAAUACGAUAAGUGAUUACGAUCAAGUUAAACAAGAAUUGGAUGCAAGUAAAAUAUGCGUAGACACGAAUAUGUAAGCACGUAAGUACGUAUGCAGGUAUGCUUGGUUUCUAUAAGUUUGAGUAAGGAUCUCACUAACAAUGUGCUUGAGAUUGGUAGGUAAUGCAGGAAUGAGAAUGACGGAUUCUCGUGGAAUGGAAGCUGAACUCGGAACAAGAGAAUCCGAGAGAAUAGUCGAAUAAAUCAAAGUCUACGUUGUCGAAUGUUAUAUGAUUUAAUUUUAUGUGAAUUUAGUUGUACGAUGUUGUCAAUGACUAAUGGUUAAGUUGUAUGUGAUGCCCACAGGUACCACUCGGACUUCUUCUACCUCUAAGGAAGAUAAGCGGGCGUGGAUCGAGUCAAAGAGCAAGAAUUGUACGGAAAGAACGGCCACAUAGUUUGAAAUACGUAAUGCUUUGAAGCGUUAAUUUAAUGUAAAUAUUGUAAACCUCUUCCAGUAAAGGCUUAACAUUUUCAUAUGUGAGCUUUUAUAUAAGUAAUGUGUCUAAUAAAGAAAGAAAUUUAAGGCUCGUAUUUCCGCUGCGUCAUUUUAAAGUUAUUACAUGUUAGGGCGUAACAAGUUGGUAUCAGAGCCCUGGUUUGAGAGAAUCAAGUAGCAGGAGGUAAAUACUUGAACUCAAACCGGUGUGCUCUCGUGACCGAGAACCCGUGCAAUCCAAGACUCGAUCGAGGCCUAAAGGCAAAAGCGAAUGUAAGUACGUAUUAGAUUAUGUAUUUGGAGGAAACUAAUAGUAUGUUUUGUGAAGGGUAAGCGCAAUUGUUGGAAGAGAUGAUCCGUGAAUGCGGACUAGGACCGGCAUUGAGGCAAGUAAUGAAACAAAUUGACCCCAGGUACGUAAACCUAACGUAUGGGCGUAUGAAAUGGUAUGGUUAAG